UGAGGAAUAUUGGUCAAUGGACGAGAGUCUGAACCAGCCAAGUAGCGUGCAGGAUGACAGCCCUAUGGGUUGUAAACUGCUUUUGUUUGGGAAUAAUCGACAUUACGUGUAAUGUUUUGCAUGUACCAUUCGAAUAAGGACCGGCUAAUUCCGUGCCAGCAGCCGCGGUAAUACGGAAGGUCCAGGCGUUAUCCGGAUUUAUUGGGUUUAAAGGGAGUGUAGGCGGUUGGUUAAGCGUGUUGUGAAAUGUAGAUGCUCAACAUCUGACUUGCAGCGCGAACUGGCUGACUGGAGUACACACAACGUAGGCGGAAUUCAUGGUGUAGCGGUGAAAUGCUUAGAUAUCAUGAAGAACUCCGAUUGCGAAGGCAGCUUACGUGAGUGUUACUAACGCUUAAGCUCGAAGGUGCGGGUAUCGAACAGG
rnacentral:rRNA from 1 species